rfam:Trichobilharzia regenti genome assembly, scaffold: TRE_scaffold0068778
AUCCAGAUGACUAGUCUCAAAUAGGACGCAAUGCGCAUCCUGGAU